rnacentral:lncRNA from 1 species
GGGCCUGGUCUAGUAGAGCUGUGUUGUGAUGGGCCUGGUCUAGUAGAGCUGUGUUGUGAUGGGCCUGGUCUAGUAGAGCUGUGUUGUGAUGGGCUGGAUCUAGUAGUGCUGUGUUGUGAUGGGCCGGGUCUAGUAGAGCUGUGUUGUGAUGGGCCUGGUCCAGUAGAGCUGUGUUGUGAUGGGCCUGGUCCAGUAGAGCUGUAUUGUGAUGGGACGGGUCUGGUCUGGUAAAUCUGUGCUGUGAUGGGCCUGGUCUAGUAGAGCUGUGUUGUGAUGGGCUGGAUCUAGUAGUGCUGUGUUGUGAUGGGCCGGGUCUAGUAGAGCUGUGUUGUGAUGGGCCUGGUCCAGUAGAGCUGUGUUGUGAUGGGCCUGGUCCAGUAGAGCUGUGUUGUGAUGGGACGUGUCUGGUAAAUCUGUGUUGUGAUGGGCCGGGUCUAGUAGAGCUGUGCUGUCCUGAGGCAGGUCUGGUCUGGUAAAUCUGUGCUGUGUUGGGCCUGGUCUAGUAGAGCUGUGUUGUGAUGGGACGGGUCUGGUCCAGUAGAGCUGUGUUGUGAUGGGCCUGGUCUAGUAGAGCUGUGCUGUAAUAAGCCGUGUCUGGCUCUUCUCUCCUGGGGAUGGUGGGGGUACUGUCGUUUCAGAAAGUGGAGCGGGGGGCCUCUGCUGCUGGGGUGAUGGGUGUGUGGGUCCCUGCCAACUGUUGCAUCCUUUAGGUCCUUGGCAGAGGUUCUGAUCCUGUCCUGAUCCAGAUGUACAUUAUGGUAUAAGUGUUGACAUGUCAGAGUGGGGUGGUGAGCCGUUCUGACGUUGAGCAGUGAGGCACAGUCCACAGUGAUCUGUUGAUUUAUAUUGUCCAUCAACUGUCCUGGGAAGUUUUUUCUUGGUAGGAGAGUGGACACAACUAUAUCGGUUGUUGGGAACAUAGCCUGUGCUCGUUCUGCCACUCUUCUCACUGCCCCAGAUACACCUUUGGCAUGAAGGUCGUUUGUGCCAGUGUUUAUGAUGAUGUUGUCGGGGGUGUCAACCCUGGUCUGACUGAGUAGCUGCAUUGCACUGUCAGUUGUAGAACACCAGAACUUAUACACCUGGUGUCUAGGGAAUAAUAUUUCCUGGACUAAGAACUUCCAUUUGAAUCAAUAAGGAUUGCCUGGGCUGUAGCAGACUGAGAGGCUGGUGGCUUGACCUGUGCUGGAGAAGACUGGGAGGCUGGUGGCUUGACCUGGGCUGUAGCAGACUGAGAGGCUGGUGGCUUGACCUGGGCUGGAGAAGACUGGGAGGCUGGUGGCUUGACCUGGGCUGGAGCAGACUGGGAGGCUGGUAGCUUGACCUGGGCUGGAGAAGACUGUGCUGGAGCAGACUGGGAGGCUGGUAGGCUGACCUGGGCUGGAGCAGACUGGGAGGCUGGUAGGCUGACCUGGGCUGGAGCAGACUGGGAGGCUGGUAGGUUGACCUGGGCUGGAGCAGACUGGGAGGCUGGUAGGUUGACCAGGGCUGGAGCACACAGUGCUGGAGCAGACUGGGAGGCUGAUCUGGGCUGGAGCAGACUGGGAGGCUGAUCUGGGCUGGAGCAGACUGGGUAGCUGGUGGUUGACAUGGGCUGGAGCAGACUGGGUAGCUGGUAGGUUGACAUGGGCUGGAGCAGACUGGGUAGCUGGUAGGUUGACCUGGGCUGGAGCAGACUGGGUAGCUGGUAGGUUGACCUGGGCUGGAGCACACUGUGCUGAAGCAGACUGGGAGGCUGGUAGGUUGACCUGGGCUGGAGCAGACUGGGAGGCUGGUAGGCUGACCUGGGCUGGAGCAGACUGGGUAGCUGGUAGGUUGACCUGGGCUGGAGCAGACUGGGAGGCUGGUAGGCUGACCUGGGCUGGAGCAGACUGGGAGGCUGGUAGGUUGACCUGGUCUGGAGCAGACUGGGUAGCUGGUAGGUUGACCUGGGCUGGAGCAGACUGGGAGGCUGGUAGAUUGACCUGGGCUGGAUCACACUGUGCUGGAGCAGACUGGGAGGCUGAUCUGGGCUGGAGCAGACUGGGAGGCUGAUCUGGGCUGGAGCAGACUGGGUAGCUGGUGGUUGACAUGGGCUGGAGCAGACUGGGUAGCUGGUAGGUUGACAUGGGCUGGAGCAGACUGGGUAGCUGGUAGGUUGACAUGGGCUGGAGCAGACUGGGUAGCUGGUAGGUUGACCAGGGCUGGAGCACACUGUGCUGGAGCAGACUGGGAGGCUGAUCUGGGCUGGAGCACACUGUGCUGGAGCAGACUGGGAAGCAGGUAGGCUGACAUGGGCAGGAGCAGACUGGGACGCUGGUUGGCUUACCUGGGCUGGAGCAGACUGGGAGGCUGAUCUGGGCUGGAGCAGACUGGGUGGCUGACAUAGGCUGGAGCAGACUGGGAGGCUGACAUGGGCUGGAGCAGACUGGGAGGCUGAUCUGGGCUGGAGCAGACUGGGACGCUGGUGCAGUGUCAUCAGGCUGUGUGGUGGAGGCCAUGCUGGUCUCAGGUUCUUCUUGUGUUGUACCAAGCUGGUGGACAUGUUCUCUAGAUGCAGAGGACAUAAUGACUAGCUGGUGGUUGAGGGGGUCAAUGUACCUCUCUCUUUGUUCUAGCUCCUCUCUUGUUGUGCUCAGAUGGUCUCUGAGGUCAUCAGUUGUCUGACUCAGUUUGUCCAUUCUGCUUUCUAAUUUAGCAAUAGAUGCUCUGCUUUCCUUCCUGAACUGUUUCAUCUCUUUUAGUUUCUGGACAGUGUCAUUCUCUUGAAGCUUGUUCUCUCUGAGUUCUAUGACCUCUGCUUCGACUACAGAGAGGGUGUUGUGGAAACGUUGCAUAGCAGGUGUUCUUGGUGUUGUAGGCAUGUCCUUGGCUCUGUCUGCUGCAGGUGAGGUAGGUAGAGGGACAGUAAGGGCUUCUUGCUGGGUCACAGAGACCGUUGGGGCCUGCUUUUCUCCAUCGCCCUCCUUUUCUUUUUCCUCAGUUUCUGAGAUGAGUUCAGCUUCUGCUUUUAGGGUAGCAAACCUAUUCUCAAAAGCCUGGGGGCUUGAAUCAUUGCCUUGUAUCAAUACAGUUCCAUUAUUGUAGAAGUUUACUGUUUGAUACAUGUUGCUCUGGUCAGCUUCUUCAAAAAUGCUGAUAUGACAUCCUUGGCUGAUGCCUCUCUUUUUUGAGAAAGGGAAAUGGUUGCAAAUAACCCUUUUCCAUAUGUGCCCUCAUUUGGUAUUAAAUAUAAAAUUUGCUCUUGUUUUGCAACUGGUAAUAUCUGCAAACAGGCAUUUAUGGUUCUGAGCCAUCAUCAAACCUUUGAAACUUUUCUUAGCUUUCUCUGUUUGGAUGUCUGGUGGGUAAACAAUUUCCAUAGCAACGCUGGUGAUGUUGGCUACAAAGUUGCAAUAGAAGCCUACCUUUUCCAAAACAGCAUUGUUUCUUGUAUUAUUGUCUCUUGUGUCUAUAGAGGACUGUUUUACUUUGAUGUCCUUUGUCUUCUGUCCUUAUUUUGUCUUAUUUUGUCUUUCUUUUCUUCUGUUAACUAGAUAUUCUUUGUUAGCUAGCUAGCUUCUUCCAGGAGAGUCCCUAGCAACUGCCUAGUAACUGGUAAACAAUUCAGCUAGCUAAGAUAACUGUAUAAUUUUAUGAAAAAUAGUUACUUUUUCAAAAGCCCAUCUUCUUCGUUUGUUGCUUGUUUUUCAGCAGCUGCUGCUCAAUUUGUAACUUCGGAACCUCUCUCUCACACACACACUCUCCCUCCCUCUCACACACUCUUUCUCUCGCUCACACAAACUCUCUCUCUCUCACACACACACUCUCCCUCUCUCACACACACUCUCCCUCUCUC